AGUGAACGCUGGCGGUAUGCCUAACACAUGCAAGUCGAACGGCAGCACAGUAAGAGUUUGCUCUUACGGGUGGCGAGUGGCGGACGGGUGAGGAAUACAUCGGAAUCUACUUUUUCGUGGGGGAUAACGUAGGGAAACUUACGCUAAUACCGCAUACGACCUACCGGUGAAAGCAGUGGAUCUUCGGACCUUUCGCGUUUGUAUGAGCCGAUGUCGGAUUAGCUAGUUGGCGGGGUAAAGGCCCACCAAGGCGACGAUCCGUAGCUGGUCUGAGAGGAUGAUAAGCCACACUGGAACUGAGACACGGUCCAGACUCCUACGGGAGGCAGCAGUGGGGAAUAUUGGACAAUGGGCGCAAGCCUGAUCCAGCCAUACCGCGUGGGUGAAGAAGGCCUUCGGGUUGUAAAGCCCUUUUGUUGGGAAAGAAAAGCAGCAGGUUAAUACCCAGCUGUUCUGACGGUACCGAAAGAAUAAGCACCGGCUAACUUCGUG
rnacentral:rRNA from 1 species